CAGCCGCCGCGGGAAUACGAAGGGUGCAAGCGUUACUCGGAAUUACUGGGCGUAAAGCGUGCGUAGGUGGUGGUUUAAGUCCGUUGUGAAAGCCCUGGGCUCAACCUGGGAAUUGCAGUGGAUACUGGGUCACUAGAGUGUGGUAGAGGAUAGUGGAAUUUCCGGUGUAGCAGUGAAAUGCGUAGAGAUCGGAAGGAACAUCUGUGGCGAAGGCGACUAUCUGGGCCAACACUGACACUGAGGCACGAAAGCUAGGGGAGCAAACAGGAUUAGAGACCCCUGUAGUCCCUGUCUCUUAUAC
rnacentral:rRNA from 1 species